GUGCUUUCGCAGCACAUAGACUAAAGUGGAAGCAAUAGAAAGAAUAUUAGCAAGGAUGAUAUGCAAAUUCAUAAAGCAUUCCAUAUUUUU
ensembl:snRNA U6 U6 spliceosomal RNA